AGUUUGAUCCUGGCUCAGGACGAACGCUGGCGGCGUGCCUAAUACAUGCAAGUCGAACGAACUCUGGUAUUGAUUGGUGCUUGCAUCAUGAUUUACAUUUGAGUGAGUGGCGAACUGGUGAGUAACACGUGGGAAACCUGCCCAGAAGCGGGGGAUAACACCUGGAAACAGAUGCUAAUACCGCAUAACAACUUGGACCGCAUGGUCCGAGUUUGAAAGAUGGCUUCGGCUAUCACUUUUGGAUGGUCCCGCGGCGUAUUAGCUAGAUGGUGGGGUAACGGCUCACCAUGGCAAUGAUACGUAGCCGACCUGAGAGGGUAAUCGGCCACAUUGGGACUGAGACACGGCCCAAACUCCUACGGGAGGCAGCAGUAGGGAAUCUUCCACAAUGGACGAAAGUCUGAUGGAGCAACGCCGCGUGAGUGAAGAAGGGUUUCGGCUCGUAAAACUCUGUUGUUAAAGAAGAACAUAUCUGAGAGUAACUGUUCAGGUAUUGACGGUAUUUAACCAGAAAGCCACGGCUAACUACGUGCCAGCAGCCGCGGUAAUACGUAGGUGGCAAGCGUUGUCCGGAUUUAUUGGGCGUAAAGCGAGCGCAGGCGGUUUUUUAAGUCUGAUGUGAAAGCCUUCGGCUCAACCGAAGAAGUGCAUCGGAAACUGGGAAACUUGAGUGCAGAAGAGGACAGUGGAACUCCAUGUGUAGCGGUGAAAUGCGUAGAUAUAUGGAAGAACACCAGUGGCGAAGGCGGCUGUCUGGUCUGUAACUGACGCUGAGGCUCGAAAGUAUGGGUAGCAAACAGGAUUAGAUACCCUGGUAGUCCAUACCGUAAACGAUGAAUGCUAAGUGUUGGAGGGUUUCCGCCCUUCAGUGCUGCAGCUAACGCAUUAAGCAUUCCGCCUGGGGAGUACGGCCGCAAGGCUGAAACUCAAAGGAAUUGACGGGGGCCCGCACAAGCGGUGGAGCAUGUGGUUUAAUUCGAAGCUACGCGAAGAACCUUACCAGGUCUUGACAUACUAUGCAAAUCUAAGAGAUUAGACGUUCCCUUCGGGGACAUGGAUACAGGUGGUGCAUGGUUGUCGUCAGCUCGUGUCGUGAGAUGUUGGGUUAAGUCCCGCAACGAGCGCAACCCUUAUUAUCAGUUGCCAGCAUUAAGUUGGGCACUCUGGUGAGACUGCCGGUGACAAACCGGAGGAAGGUGGGGAUGACGUCAAAUCAUCAUGCCCCUUAUGACCUGGGCUACACACGUGCUACAAUGGAUGGUACAACGAGUUGCGAACUCGCGAGAGUAAGCUAAUCUCUUAAAGCCAUUCUCAGUUCGGAUUGUAGGCUGCAACUCGCCUACAUGAAGUCGGAGUCGCUAGUAAUCGCGGAUCAGCAUGCCGCGGUGAAUACGUUCCCGGGCCUUGUACACACCGCCCGUCACACCAUGAGAGUUUGUAACACCCAAAGUCGGUGGGGUAACCUUUUAGGAACCAGCCGCCUAAGGUGGGACAGAUGAUUAGGGUG
rnacentral:rRNA from 1 species